rnacentral:rRNA from 1 species
GAUGAACGCUAGCUACAGGCUUAACACAUGCAAGUCGAGGGGCAGCAUGACGAUAGCUUGCUAUUGUCGAUGGCGACCGGCGCACGGGUGAGUAACGCGUAUCCAACCUUCCCGUUGCUAGGGGAUAACCUUGCGAAAGUAAGACUAAUACCCUAUGAAGUUCUUCGCAGGCAUCUAAAGAGAACGAAAGAUUUAUCGGCAACGGAUGGGGAUGCGUCUGAUUAGCUUGUUGGCGGGGUAACGGCCCACCAAGGCGACGAUCAGUAGGGGUUCUGAGAGGAAGGUCCCCCCACAUUGGAACUGAGACACGGUCCAAAACUCCUACGGGAGGCAGCAGUGAGGAAUAUUGGGUCAAAUGGGGCGAGAGCCUGAACCAGCCAAGUAGCGUGCAGGAUGACGGCCCUAUGGGUUGUAAACUGCUUUUAUAAGGGAAUAAAGUGAGUCUCGUGAGACUUUUUGCAUGUACCUUAUGAAUAAGGACCGGCUAAUUCCGUGCCAGCAGCCGACGG